AAACUGAUUAUGGUUGUAAAGUGUUUAGGAAAAUUCAUCCUAAGAAGAAGUUCCGUGGACACCACUCCAUAAAUUCUAAUUAAAUUGAAGUACAUUCUUACACCAUUGUGCUUUUUAGGAAACCUUUACACCAUGGAUGAAACAAAAAUGGUUAGCUCCAGAAAUUUCCUCAAGUAACAUUACAUGCCUAAGAAUUCUAUUUCUGAAAUAUUAUAACUUUUAUCCUUAUCCUUACCAUUUAUGAGUACUCUUUUCCAAGCUUCUUUUUGUAUUGUCCCAGAAUUUGAGAUUCAACCAAAUACUUGUGUAUUGUCUCAGGCUUUUUUGGGUAUCACAGUAUAUGUGUUGGUUUUGGAAUCUAAAUUUAUGACUAAUUCUUUGUUUAAUUAUUUCCAAUUGCAUUUAGAUUGGCCUUUAAAUUUCCACAGAAAUCACAGUUGUUUUCAUUUCAAAACUUCAUAAUGUUGCAUUUCAGUAUUAAAUUAGUAUUUUAUGGUUGACUCACUUUCAAUUAUUUCAUGUAUAUAUUUUCUUGCAAUGGACCCGUGAAGGAAUGGCUACACUAGCAACUCUAAACGUGCUAGUACAUUUUUCUCCAUGUAAGCAAUUACUAGAUGACUGUGGCAACUCCAGUUUCAGGAAUUGUUGAACCUCAUAUUGGAAGCCUUACCCUUAUGCUUUUCGAGCACCAAUAUCUUUUUUUUAUGCCACCCCAAGUGGUCGAAUCCUGAACAGAGUAUGUUAUAUACUUCACGAACAAGGUUCUUGACAUCGAAUCUAUCAUCUUUACUUCGACCAAAGAUCAUUUUAUAGACAGCUGACAAACUCUGCCAACAGCUCACUUCUCAUGGGAGAAAACAUGUCAACUUUUAAUGCAAUCAGAAGUUCUACAGUGCAGAGUUUCUUCAUGUUGCGCCAGUAGGGACCAUACUCAGAAAAAACCAAGCCUUUGCCACCAUAGGAAAUAUAUUGGGAUGAGAUUCUUUUAGGCCUGGAAGGAAAACUGAGGUCAUGGGUCAUGAUGUUAAACUCUCUACAAACUAAUAUAAUCUGGUUUAUUUGCACUUUGGAGAACAAAAUUAUAUUUGUUGAAAGAAUACUCCAAUACACAUCUCUCCCAAGUGAAGCUCCUCUUGUGAUUAAAGACAACCAGCCAGAAUAUUCUUGGCCAUCAUUUGGAGAGGUUCAUAUACAGGAUUUACUGGUACAUUUCAAUGGUUUUUCAUUUGUUUGUGAAUUGAAGGCUGCAAUUAUAUUUUCCUAGUUUUCUUAUGGUAUAUAACUGUAAUGAGGAGCUGUGUUAUGCAAGUUCGAUAUGCUCCUCACUUGCCUAUUGUUUUACGAGGUCUUACUUGCACUUUUACUGCUGGAUCAAAAACUGGUAUUAAGGGAAGAACAGGAAGUGGAAAAAUAACUAUAGUGCAAACACUUUUCCGACUUGUUGAACCUGUUGCUGGACAAAUACUGAUAAAUAGCAUUAACAUCACUAUGAUUGGAAUUCAUGAUUUGCGAUCCAAACUAAGCAUUAUUCCUCAAGAGCCAACAAUGUUUGAAGGGACUGUAAGAACCAAUCUGGAUCCACUGGAAGAGUACAAAUAUGAACAGAUUUGGCAGCCAUUAGAGAUGUGCCAACUUGGAGAUGCAGUAAGAAAAAAAAAGGGAAGCUUGACUCCAUAGGUUUGAUUUCUCAAAACUUUGAACAUACACAUGACAGGUGUUACAGGUCACAAUGAUAUGCAUUACAUAUCAUUAUGAGCUUUUACAGUUACUGAAAAUGGAGAAAAUUGCAGUAUGGGUCAAAGGCAAUUGGUCUGCCUAGCCCGUGUUCUACUGAAGAAAAGCAAGAUCUUGGUGCUUAAUGAAGCUACUGCAUCAGUUGAUAUAGCCACAAAUAAUAUUAUUCAACAAACAGUUAAGCAUCAUUUUGCAGAAUGCACAAUCUUCACCAUUGCUCAUAGGAUAACUUCAAUCAUUGACGUGGUUCUGUUUUUAAAUCAAGGUAUUCGAUCACAGACAUGUUCUUAUUGAAGAAACAAAUGAUUCAAAUCAAGAUUGAUAGUUGAAGAAUCUUAUUAGACUUUCAUUAUAUCUGACUUUAUAACUAUAAAAACAAAGAUAUUGUAUGUUUCACUAGUUUGAAUGUUUAAACUUUAUUAUUUACCUUGAACUUAUAGACAACGUUCCUGGUUUCUAUGAAUGUUA